rnacentral:rRNA from 1 species
GGUAUUUUGACUAUACGAAGGUAUUGAAAUAAGGUUUUAAAUGAGUGCUAAGAGAAUGAUUCAACAAUUAAGAACUUUCUUCAUUUUAAAAAUUGAAUUUAGUUUUAUUGUGAAGAAACAAUAAUAGUAAUUAGGGACAAGAAGACCCUAUGAAUUUUAUAUACUUUUUCAUAUGAAAUAUUCAUAUUGAAAAAGAAUUUUGUUGGGGCGAUAUAAAAAGAAUAAAUAUCUUUUUUCAUAAAGUUAAUUUAGAUCCAUUAUUAAUGAUUGAGUGAGAAAAAUACUCUAGGGAUAACAGCGUAAUAAUUUUGGAUAGUUCAUAUAGAUAAAAUAGUUUGCGACCUCGAUGUUGGAUUAGGAUUCUUUUUUGGUGAAGAAGUUAAAAUAAGAAGUUUGUUCAACUUUUAAA